rnacentral:ribozyme from 1 species
CCGCGAGGAAGUGCCGCUCCUCCGGCCCCAGCGCCCGCAGCAGCGCCUCGCUCGAGGCGAAGAAGGUGUGCCCUCCUCCGUGAGAAAGCUGGCUGCGGCACAAAAACGACAUGUACCGA